rnacentral:lncRNA from 1 species
AUGAAACAAUAUUUACUGCUGCCAGGAACACAGGACAUUAGGAUUAAGAGCAACAAGAAGAAUCCAGAAGAGCCAGAGGGGGAAAAUUCAAACAGAGGAGGAAUUCACACUUCUCGGUUACCUUUCAGCAUCCUCAGCAUCCUCUACAUUUUGGAAUUCCUGGUUACCUUCAAGAUUCAGCUCAAGAGCCACUUUCUACAAAAGGUAAUCCUGGAAUUGUCCGUCUAACUCUCAAACUGCUGGUGCCAGCCCUUUGAAUGCCACCAUUUAUUUGCUUUGUAUGUGGCUUUAGGGAUUGUUUCCCAGCAUGUAAGUUCCUUGAGGUAAGGGGCUUUUCCACUUUUGUCUUUUAUGCUCAAGUGCCUGUAUACUGCCUGGCACAAAGUAGGUCUGCAAUAAAUGCUUAUUAAUGAAUUGGUUAAUUAAAACA